GCCGGCUCCUGCUCACCAUCACUUGCGAAGAGGUUACACAUGCUGCGAGGGGGUGGCUGAGCAGCUGGAGUCUCCUCUGCCUGCCUAUACUCACAGGAAACCUUGACAAAGAGCAAAACCCUUGGAUUCCUCAAGUUUUUGCCUGGGAGGAUUUCUACUAGCAGAUCAGUGACCCAUGACCAUAAGAGCUGGACUUCAUACAACAUAAACCAACAGGAAUCCCACGUCUGCCAUGUGAAUUUGUACUCAAAAAGUAAUUAACACUUCUGAAGCUCUUAGAUAGCACUUCAUGGAUUCUCCAGAAAAUAAAGGAAAGAACAAGUGGUUUGGAGUCAAAUAGAUCUGCAUGCAAUUUUCAGCGGCGCUCUGCUUAGUUAUGUGGCCUUGAUCGGUUACUUAACCGCUCAGCUUCAGUUUUCUGUUCUGGAACAUGGGGAUGAAAACGCACAUCCCCAACACUCUUGCUGGAAGAAUUAAGUGAGAAAAUACUCAUGCGGCCCCAUUCUCGGUACCCGGCACGUUAUAAACACUCUCUAUCUAGGCCAUGGGUAUUAGAGAAGGACAAAAGAAAGGACCAUAAAUGAAGAAGAAAAAGAAGACAAAGAAGAGGGAAGCCAGGAGCAGUGGGAGUGAGAGUAAAUACUUGAUACAACACGUUUUGUUGUGCAAAAAAUCCUCAGUGCUAAGCAAUCAGCUGACACAUGUUCCAGGACCUGGCUAUUUCUCCCUCCUGUGGUUCAGCGUUUGGCCAUUUCAUUCCUCAUUUGCACCUUCCCUGGGAAGAAGACAGAGGAGCCGAAGUGCAGUUCAGUCAGUUUUACUGCUAGCAACUCUCAUCAAAAUUGAGUUGGGAGAAGAAAAGAACCAGUCAGGACAAAAGUUAAGACUCUGUCUCUCUCUCUCUUUCAUCUCUACUGAAUCAUCUCUACCAAGCGGUUUGCCUCCUGGGUGCUCCCUGCCCUGUAGAACUGUGCUGGAGGCAGUGUGUCCCAGAUGGAGAAAUGCAGAACCACGGUCAGUCCAUGAUUGCUGA
rnacentral:lncRNA from 1 species